GCUGGAAGUGGAAGUGCAGCGAUGCAUGGAGCGGACCAGUACUAAUCGGUCGAGGACUUAACCAAG
rnacentral:rRNA from 2 species